rnacentral:rRNA from 1 species
GGCCAGACUCCUACGGGAGGCAGCAGUGAGGAAUAUUGGUCAAUGGGAGAGGUCCUGAACCAGCCAAGCCGCGUGAGGGAAGACGGCCCUAUGGGUUGUAAACCUCUUUUGUCGGAGAACAAAACCCGGGACGUGUCCCGGACUGCGUGUAUCCGAAGAAAAAGCAUCGGCUAACUCCGUGCCAGCAGCCGCGGUAAUACGUAGGUGGCAAGCGUUAUCCGGAAUGACUGGGCGUAAAGGGUGCGUAGGUGGUUUAGUAAGUUGGCGGUGUAAUUCCGGGGCUCAACCUCGGCGCUACCGCCAAAACUAUUAGACUAGAGUGCAGGAGGGGUAAGUGGAAUUCCUAGUGUAGCGGUGGAAUGCGUAGAUAUUAGGAGGAACAUCAGGGGCGAAGGCGACUUACUGGACUGUAACUGACACUGAGGCACGAAAGCGUGGGGAGCAAACAGGAUUAGAUACCCUCGUA